rnacentral:rRNA from 1 species
UACGUAGGGGGCGAGCGUUGCCCGGAAUUACUGGGCGUAAAGGGUGCGUAGGUGGCUUGUUAAGUUGGAUGUGAAAUCCCCGGGCUCAACUUGGGUGGUGCAUUCAAAACUGGCGAGCUAGAGUGCAGGAGAGGGAAGCGGAAUUCCUAGUGUAGCGGUGAAAUGCGUAGAUAUUAGGAGGAACACCAGUGGCGAAGGCGGCUUUCUGGACUGUAACUGACACUGAGGCACGAAAGCGUGGGGAGCAAACAGG